rnacentral:lncRNA from 1 species
CUUGGGGGGGGGGGGGAGGAGGGGGAGGGGGAGGAAGAAGAAGAAGAAAAGGAAAAGCAGCACAAAAAACUGAGAGCCUCAUAUACUUCCUGCUUUCGAAACUCCUGAGUCUCACACAGGAAGAGGAGGGCUGGCCUCAAAAGGCUGGGGGAGCACUGGCUCCUUCCCGGCGCCAAAAAGACGUCGGGCAGGAGGAGUGAGGCCCAAGGGGCGCAGCUUGGCGCCGGGUGCAGGGCGGGGUCCUGGCCCCUGGCUCUGCCUACCUGACUUUGGAUGAAUCAUUUUUCCUUGCAGGCCUCACUUCCUCCUCCAAGUGAGAAUUCUGGACUGGACGACAACCAAGAAUGCUUUCUUCUUGGGCCGGGGAUUUAGCUCAGUGGUUCCCGCCGCUGCUGCACAAGCGCAAGGACGGGAGUUCGAUCCCCAGUACCAAAAAAAAAAAAAGAAAAAAAGAAUGCUUUCUUCUCAUAUUCCAGGGUUGCAAAGAUCUGGGGUGUUAACCAGCACGGGGACUGAGUUUUCCUUCAGGGGCUGCUGCCUGAGCUCUCCAAGAGGUCCUCCUGCUGCCAGGGCGUCUGCCCCGGCACGGAUCUCAUCCUCACCCUUCACACCCACAGCACCGACGUCAAAGGCCUCCCCCGCCAUCUGUCCUGGCCCUCGCCAGGUGGGCCGUGGAGCACAACUGAGAGCACACUCACACGCACGCGUGCACGUGCACGAUGUUAACAGUAGGNAA